rnacentral:rRNA from 1 species
GUGUUUGAUCCCUGGCUCAGGACGAACGCUGGCGGCGUGCUUAACACAUGCAAGUCGAACGAUGAACCUCCUUCGGGAGGGGAUUAGUGGCGAACGGGUGAGUAACACGUGGGCAAUCUGCCCUGCACUUCGGGACAAGCCCUGGAAACGGGGUCUAAUACCGGAUACUCACCGCCUCCCGCAUGGGGGGUGGUGGAAAGCUCCGGCGGUGCAGGAUGAGCCCGCGGCCUAUCAGCUUGUUGGUGGGGUAGUGGCCCACCAAGGCGACGACGGGUAGCCGGCCUGAGAGGGCGACCGGCCACACUGGGACUGAGACACGGCCCAGACUCCUACGGGAGGCAGCAGUGGGGAAUAUUGCACAAUGGGCGAAAGCCUGAUGCAGCGACGCCGCGUGAGGGAUGACGGCCUUCGGGUUGUAAACCUCUUUCAGCAGGGAAGAAGCGAAAGUGACGGUACCUGCAGAAGAAGCACCGGCUAACUACGUGCCAGCCGCCGCGGUAAUACA